UACGUAGGUGGCAAGCGUUAUCCGGAAUUACUGGGCGUAAAGCGCACGCAGGUGGCUAUCUAAGAUUGACGUGAAACCUUCUGGCUUAACCGGAAGACGUCGUUGGUGACUGGAUGGCUUGAGGCGAGGAGAGGGGUGCAGAAUUCCCGGUGUAGUGGUGGAAUGCGUAGAUAUCGGGAGGAAUACCAGUGGCGAAAGCGGCACCCUGGCCUUGGCCUGACGCUCAGGUGCGAAAGCGUGGGGAGCGAACGGG
rnacentral:rRNA from 1 species